AUCCCUGUCUGUGGCUCUUCAUCUUCUAUACUGCUCCCCCUUGGUGCAAUAGGGGAGCUAGAUCAUCUCCUUGGUGCUGCUUCCCAUCAGAGUGGCGUGGAGGAAGGAGCCCAAUGCUUUCCAGUUUAGCUCCCUGUCCCAACAGAGUUGCUGCCAAGGAUUAACCCUGCUGGGGAAGGGCAGAGCAAGCUGGGAUACAAACCAGCACAGCAGCAUUCACAAAGCUACCAACAGCCACGAUUUGACUGAUUCACCCGGGUUCUGCUCUCCCCAUUACCUCUGCAUCCUCCAGGGAGUGUAGAACACCCCUUCGUCUCCCAGUUCCCAGAAGGGAGGUAGGAAGUAAGCCAUUUCCCAGCCUGGGAUUGCAGAGAGUUAUAGGAAAUGCUGCUCUAAGUGACUCUGGUGUGCAAUGCAACCCUUCCAUGCCCUCUGGAUUUGCUGCCCUGCAUCCUGGGAGCUGGGCUGGGGCCAGGAGCAGCGAGCAAACCAGCCCCAAGGUUGCAGCCAGGGGGAUGCAGCUGGGAGGGCAAGUGCUGCUCAUUGAUUUUGCAGGAAGGCAGAGGUAUUUUUAGCACUGCUCUGAUGCUGCUCUGUGCUGGUGCUGCUCAGGUUAUAGGGCUUCUCCCCCCCCCACCCUCUGCUCUCUGACUCUUUUUACUUCCCCUACGAUGGUGCUCUGCCAAUUCUGCCUUUCAAAUCGGGGCUUGGCUGGCACGGAUCCCCCUACACAUAUUUGUCCCCAGGUCUUCAAAGAGCUUGCAGCAGUAAAUUUGCAGGGUAGAUCGUUUUCUGCCUAUCAUGGCAUUGUUUAAGCAGUAAUAGCUGGACCACUUCAUCUGCAAGCAUUUAACCAGCUCUCCUGCGCAAAGCUCCGACCCACAUUUAUGACAUUUAUGAAGCAUUUGACAUAGGCAAUGUGCCUGGAGUCGGCCAGCAGAAAGCUCCCCGCCUCUCCUGGGGACUCGUGACUUGCUUCUUUCCCCUCCGACUUGCUUUUAUUCCGCAGCCUUUACAAGGUAAAAGUAGCAAUAGUACAGGUGGCUCCUGAGAUAUCCCCAUGGCUGGGUUGGAGAGCAGUGCAGGGAGAGGAAAAUUCGGGAGGUAAUUGCUAGCAAGGAGCCAUCAAUGCAAUGGAGGAACUGGAAGGGGAUCUGCAAUAAUGCCUGGCACCAAUGGGUCCCCAAACAGGGAGAGCUGCUGGGAUUUGCUGGGCAAGCAUUGGGGAACUGCUGGAAACAAUGCCGAGGUUUGGGGCUCUGUGCAGAGAUUGGUGGCUGUGCAAUGGGAAAAUGGAACCAAAUGGCACAAAGCGCAUCUACACAAUGGAUGUCCAUAGGACGGACCCAGGUGCCCACCCAAAAGCCCCAUGUAUCACUACUCACUGUCCAGGCAGGGCUCGCAGACGGUCUGGUUGACCCCGCAGGGCUGCACCACGCCCUCGCCCAGGUUGCAGGCUUUGCAGCACUCACCGCUCGUCGUGUACAUCUUGGUCAAGCACUUUUCCUUGGAGCCCCAGGUGGGUCCCUGGGAGAGAAAACAGCCCGGAGGUGACUCCUGUGACAGGAAUUGCAACGAUGGGCAGAGAGAGAUGAUGCAUCCAGGAAGGGUUGUGCUGCGGGGUGGACACUCAAUAUCUGGGCUAAAGGGGGGGCUGUGUGUUAGAUAUAAGGCUUGGGAGAAAGGGGAGGUAAAUGUCUUUCCUAUGCAAAACUCAUUCAUUUGUAAAGCUUCUGCCAAAUGCUACUGAUUGAGGGAGGCAAUGACAGCCCUUGGUCUGGGCUUGUGGGUCUUAGGGGGAUGCUGGCUUUUCUGUAGGGUUACAGCAUUAUGUCCCCAUCACAGGAGCCGUUCCCUCUGUGGAUGCUGUGCUGUCCUGAGCAGCUCAGCCCCCCCCUGCCUGGGAAAAGCUGCCAGCUCCAGUGAAGGGUUUGGAGGGCUGAGGUCCCUGUUCUGCACUGGGAUCAGAAAUCAGACCCCGUCGGUGGAAAUGAAGACUUUGACAGGAGCGCAGAGAGCUUCAGCUGUCUGACAGGAGGGGUGGCCUUGAAGGAAGGUGUGCGCAGCGCAGCACCAUCAUCUCCCAAACCCUGGCACGGAAAGGAGCUGCGCUGCUCCGAAACGGGGAACGGCAGCAAUUCCUGCAGCUGGAGACCGGCCCGGCGGCAAGCCUGGAUCCGAACGGCCCGCGAGGCUGACGGACGGGUUCUGUGUAUUUUGGCGGAGCACCCUGUCUAGAAAAGGCCACAGCUCUGAAUUCUCAGCACUCCCCAAAGUUUGGGCAGCGGGAGAGCCACGUCUGAGCCGUGCGGGUCCCACAGAGCUCUGCCUCCUCCCCCGACCCAGCUCCAAUCUGAGCAGUGCAGGCUGUGGCCUUUCCCCACGGGAUGCACCGCUGGGCUGCAGCGCUCCCCUGGAGGGGGCCGCCGACAAGAGGAACUUCCCCAAGCCCCAUUGCAGAGCUCGGGUGUUGGAUGAUGCUCUGACACCACCACGAGUGUCACUCCAAGAAAAACCUCACCACGGUGACGCAAAGCAGAGACGGACGGACAGAGACGGCCGCUCAGAUGGGCUGCAUCUGCACGGGGCUGGGCAGGCGGCCAGCACAAGUAAGUGGAAACUGCUGCUCCAUCCCAACCCGCGUGGCUCCUUUGGUGAAGGCACUCCUUGCACUUUAUGUCAUCCCCCACCUCAUGCCUUUUUUUUUUUUCUCUCCCAGAAAGGUUGUGGCCCUUUCCUGGCUCUGUGUGAUGACAAAGGGCCUCUUAAAAGUCUGCUGUCGCCUCUCAGAAUUAAAACCAAAGGCUUUGGGGUUGCAUGUGCUCAGGGAGCAUCCUCAGGGCUGCUGGCAGAGCACGGCACCAGCUGCUGCCCUGCAACUCCCAACCCCAACCAAGAGGUCUCCCCACCCUCAACCAGCCAUGCCCCGGGGUGACUCCUGGCCAUUGAGGGAGGUCCGAAAUUGUGGCUCAGUGAUGCUCCAGGUACUCCUGAGCCACAGGGGGAUGACGCUGCAGUGGCACCAUGCUGGCCUCCACCAAUGCUGGUUGGUGAGAGCAGGUUGGGGAAUGGAGAACAGCUCACCUGCCUGUAAGGAAGAAAGGAGCUUCUGGCUCUUCUGCUGGCUCCUGAUCCCAUUUUGGGCUGGGAGGUCAUACACAGAGGAUUCACUGCUGGGGGAGCACUGUGGGGCUCCUGGGGCUGGGUGGGCUCAUCCUUGUUUGUGAAUGGGAGCAUCAAGGAAUGGGGCUGAGAGCAGAGGUGAGGAGGAAGCAGGGAGGGCUCCCAAGGGGAAGCAUCAUCCCUGGGAGAGACAGCUGUGCCCCAUGGGCCUCCCCCUACUGGAGCAGAGAGGUUUAAUUAGCAAAAGCCCAAUUACAGCUUGGCAAAACAUUGCAUCCAGUCCCUCCCAAGGACACAGCGCCCGUCUCGCUCCAUCCUUAUCUCCCUUCAGGCUCAUCCAGGUCUGCUCCCAUGCGCUUUGCAAAGACAAAAGGUCUCCAAGUUGUGUUUUGCCACCCUCCCACCACUCCACAAGGACUCCUGGAAAUAGCACAAACUUCUAAGUUCUGUGCAAAUUCCUGCCUUCAAACUUAGUAUUGGUUUCGCUAAAAAGCGUCGGUGAUUACUUUCCCAACGAGGACAGCAACACAGUAAUGCCACGUUAUGAAUAACAAUGAAUAAAUGAUAGACGUUGGGAAAACAUCACUGUGCUGCCCCGGGGGCUGAGAGGGUGAAUAAUGGGCUGCAGAGAAAAAAGCAGGGGUGGGAUGUGGUGCUGCAGUGUUAUGGGAUGGGCUUCCAAGGCUGGGGGCUGUGCUGUGCUGUGCGCCAUGCUGAGGGCCAAGGCCACCUCUGGAGAGCAGGAAGGGAGAAGAGAUGAGUGGAAGUUGAGGGCUCCCUCUGGUUCUCCAUUCAGUCAAUGGGAUUUGGGCAUGUAAAAGCUGUUAGUGCUCGAGCACAGCGGGUUGCUCACUCCCAUCCCCUGCUCGGGGCUGCUGCAGCUCCAAACCCAUCUGCUCUGCACCGAGUGGGCGGUGGGGAGCGAUGGGGUGAGCAGAUCCAUCCCCAGCUGUGGUUUAGGGACCGCUGAUCAUUGCCCCCGGUGAGGUGCAGGAGCACUGGGAGGCUGCAGACGUUUUACCAUUCAGGGGAAAACUGCUCUCUUGAUUUAGAAAGCCAGGGAGGGACUGCCCAUAAUACCUCUUCCUUUUUCCUUACUUGGGGGUUACACGCAGGCUGCAGAAUGUGUGGGGUGCUGUAAAACCCAGAGCCUGUGCUGGGCAGGCAGUUAUUCCUAUGGAAUGGGACUCAGAUGGAGAUUUUGGGGUUGAUUUCGCCUAUUCAGCUGUUCCCACCUGGGCUGGGAGUAGAAGAUCCCACAAUCUCAGAGUGAUCUCUUUGCUGUGCUGUACCCGUUGGUGUUGGGGUACAGAUGGGAAUCACACAGAGAUCGGUGCUGGGGGUGGUGCACAGCAGUGAGGAGAGUGGAGGGCAUGGGGGAGAUGGGGGGUAUGUGGUGAGGGGCUGCAUGGCAUGGGGCCGUGGGGCUGCCCUGCUGCUGUGCUUUGAUAUGGGCUCCUGAGUGGAGAUUUUGGCUCUUGGGUGUCCUCGAUGAUGGUGUGAAACCAUGGGGUGGUGAUGAGGCUGUGUUUGGGCGUCUGUCAUGGGGCAAAGGCUCUGAGCACCCCAAAUGCAGGGCUCUGAGCCAGGAGGGAUCACAUCCCUCCCAUAAGGGAAGGCAACGGAGGGAUGCAACAUUCCCCAGACUCACACAAACCUGAUUUCCAUUACUAUCAAAGUGUCCCAACCUGGUUUUCAUUACCCUCCUUGAUUUCCAUGCCUGUAAUUUCUCCUAAUGCCUCUCUCCAACUGUUCCCCCGCUCUUUCUCAGCUGUUAAUCUCCAGCCCCAAGCUCUCCUCUCCUUCCUUUUCCCCAUCCUUUCUGUGCCAUCCAUCACCGUGCUCAGAGGGGGGGUCACAGCGCUGUGGGGACGAACCUCGGGUUCCUUAUAAGGACAGCCCAAAGGAAUCUCCCAUCAGCAGAGCCCACACUGCCCAGGAAACUCAAUCCUUCCUCGGGACAAAGUGAUGGCAAAAUCGUGAGAUGGUAAAAAUAGAGCUGUGGUUUCCCUCCCUGUGAAAGCAAAGCAGUUGUGCAGGAUUUACAAUAACACUCAGAGCCAGGCAGGGGGGGGGGAGAAAGUCGCUCCUCGUGGUGCGUGUAAUAAAGGACAUAAAUAUGUCUGCAGCAGCAACAUUAUCAAUAUUUUUCUGCUUAAGUUAUGGAUUAGUUCCACAUGCCAGGGGCAGGGCUGGCUUUCUUCUCACCAGCCUGGCUUUUGGGAACUGAUUGAUUCACUUUUGUUGCUGAUGGAUCAAGAAUUCUGCUAUUAGGAGGAAAUGAAUGUCAAAUCCUUCAUGGCAUCGAUGAGGAUGGAGCAGGGCAGGCGGGAGGAGCAGAGUGAGGCAGGAUGGGGCUUCUUUCCCUUUCCCUCUUCUCCUUCUUUCCUACUCCUCUCCUCUCCUCUCCUCUCCUCUCCUCUCCUCUCCUC